GAAUAUCAGAGAGGCAGUUGCAGCCACAACAACACUUGUGAUGUCACAGAAGCAGCUAGGGAGUCCAGGUUACAAGAGAUACUUGCAGUAGGGCCAAAUCAUGAUGUCACUGUGAACUGCCAUGUCCUACCUGCUAAACAGAUUUCCCUACAUUGACCAGAUUUUGAGUGCCCUUUCCAGGAACUGUAAGAGCAGGAAGUCCAGAUGCUUCUGAGAGGACCCCAGCUUCUAAUUCCCAUUUGUAGACGGCUCAGAUCAAGACAAUCUCUUCAUGAAACAACUCAACACCUACUAAGGACUCAGAGAGCUUUCCCAAGGACCUUUUUUGUACCAAGACAGAAGGACCAAAACCAUCAGCUUUAAAGAAAACUGUGCCCUUUCCAACACUUGGCUUUGGAAAAAAGACAUGAAUGAUAUAAAUUCUCCGACUUCCAGGAACCAUAACUAGCAGGGAAGUCCAGAUGCAUCUGAGAGGCUCCCAUCUCCUGAUUACCAUAUUUGGAAGGCUCCAAUCAAUACUAUCUUUUCAGCAAACCUUCUCAACCACUACCCAGAAAUGACUGAGAUUUCCCAUGGACCACAUAUUUCUUUUUUUUUAUAACAAAGCAGAAGGCCAGCUUCCUUCUUCCCAUCUUUGAUCAAUUCAUCCUCUUUUUUCUCCUUCCCAAAGGCUGUUUAUGCUGAAUUAGAGGCCAAAUAGUAAACCCUAGAGGUACUGAAGGACUACUGGAGAGGCAACUUCUGUCAGGACAACACUUGUUACAUCACAGAAGAAACUAGGGAUCUCCAGGAUACAACAGAUUUUUUUAGAUAGGCCUAAUGGUGAUGUCACUGAGAAUUGCCAUGGCCUACCUGCUAAAGUGUUUUCCUUUCAAUGACCAGAUUCGAGGGUGCCCUUGCAAGGUUUGUCUCCUGUGAAACAAUGGAAACCUUUUCAUUCUACAUGUCUUUAAAGCUAGAAACUUCUCUUUAUUUCCUUAGUGGUUACAUGCUCUGAAAGGAAAAGAUAAUCAGGAGCUUUGCAUGGGUAGAAAAGAUCUCGGAACAUGGAGUGGAAGAGAUUCCUCUGGAUAAUAAUUUUAUUACCAGGUCCAUUACUGUGACAUACAGUUCAAUAUCCUAGGUUAUCUCUGUUUCCCAAAGACCAGCAUU